AUUCCAUGAUGGGGACAUUCUAGGAUGUAGUCUUGAAAGCGCUCCCAUGCUUCUGGAACAGAUUCAUCAUUUUGUUGCUGAAAACUUGUAAUCCUCCCACGGAGAGC
rnacentral:snoRNA from 1 species